rnacentral:rRNA from 1 species
UUAACGCUGGCGGCGUGCAUACCACAUGCAAGUCGAACGAUGAAACUUAAAUGAUUUCUUCGGAAUGAACUUAAGUGGAUUAGUGGCGGACGGGUGAGUAACGCGUGAGUAACCUGCCUUACACAAGGGGAUAGCCGUUGGAAACGACGAAUAAUACCCUAUGAAACUAUCACUUCGCAUGAAGCGAUAGUCAAAGUGUUAGCGGUGUAAGAUGGACUUGCGUCUGAUUAGCUAGUUGGUGAGAAAAAAGCCCACCAAGGCAACGAUCAGUAGCCGGCUUGAGAGAGUGUACGGCCACAUUGGGACUGAGACACGGCCCAGACUCCUACGGGAGGCAGCAGUGGGGAAUUUUGCACAAUGGGGGAAACCCUGAUGCAGCGACGCCGCGUGAUUUAGAAGGCCUUCGGGUUGUAAAAAUCUUUUGUAUAGGAAGAAAAUGACAGUACUAUACGAAUAAGGUCCGGCUAAUUACGUG